rnacentral:rRNA from 1 species
UACGGAGGGUGCAAGCGUUGUCCGGAUUUACUGGGCGUAAAGAGCGCGCAGGCGGUCGAUCAAGUCGAGUGUGAAAGCCCCCCGGCUCAACUGGGGAGGGUCAUUCGAUACUGAUCGACUCGAAGGCAGGAGAGGGUAGUGGAAUUCCCGGUGUAGUGGUGAAAUGCGUAGAUAUCGGGAGGAACACCAAUUGCGAAGGCAGCUCGCUGGGACGUUACUGACGCUGAGACGCGAAAGCGUGGGGAGCAAACAGG